GACGAACGCUGGCGGCGUGCUUAACACAUGCAAGUCGAACGAUGAAGUUCCUUCGGGAAUGGAUUAGUGGCGAACGGGUGAGGAACACGUGAGAAACCUGCCCAUCAUUCUGGGAUAACACCGGGAAACCGGUGCUAAUACCGGAUACUCCAUCGCGGCGGCAUCGCUGCGCUGGGAAAGUAUUUCGAUGAUGGAUGGUCUCGCGGCCUAUCAGCUUGUUGGUGAGGUAACGGCUCACCAAGGCGACGACGGGUAGCCGGCCUGAGAGGGCGACCGGCCACACUGGGACUGAGACACGGCCCAGACUCCUACGGGAGGCAGCAGUGGGGAAUAUUGGGCAAUGGACGCAAGUCUGACCCAGCGACGCCGCGUGAGGGAUGAAGGCCUUCGGGUUGUAAACCUCUUUCAGUGGGGAAGAAGCGAAAGUGACGGUACCCAAAGAAGAAGCACCGGCUAACUAUGUGCCAGCAGCCGCCGUAA
rnacentral:rRNA from 1 species